CGAGAGGCCCAAACGUUAUUCGGAAUUACUGGGCUUAAAGAGUUCGUAGGCGGCAUGAAAAGCAGGGUGUGAAAGCCCUCGGCUUAACCGAGGAAUUGCGCUCUGAACUGUCGUGCUUGAGGAACCUAGAGGUGAGCAGAACAGAUGGUGGAGCGGUGAAAUGCGUUGAUAUCAUCUGGAAUACCGGAGGCGAAGGCGGCUCACUGGGGGUUUUCUGACGCUGAGGAACGAAAGCCAGGGUAGCGAACGGGAUUAGAUACCCCGGUAGUCCUGGCCGUAAACGAUGAGCACUAGGCCGGAGCCCUGCACAGGGUUUCGGCCGUAGCUAAAGUGUUAAGUGCUCCGCCUGGGGAGUAUGGUCGCAAGGCUG
rnacentral:rRNA from 1 species